rnacentral:rRNA from 1 species
UACGAAGGGGGCGAGCGUUGUUCGGAUUUACUGGGCGUAAAGGGCGCGCAGGCGGCUUAUUUUGUCAGGCGUGAAAGCCCCGGGCUUAACCUGGGAAUGGCCGUCGAAACUGGCGAACUGGAGUGUGGCAGAGGGGGGUGGAAUUCCGCGUGCAGCAGUGAAAUGCGUAGAGAUGCGGAGGAACACCGAUGGCGAAGGCAGCCCCCUGGGCUGACACUGACGCUCAGGCACGAAAGCGUGGGGAGCAAACAGG